GAAUAGAAUAGAAUAGAAUUAUUUAUUGACCAAGUGUGAUUGGACACACAAGGAAUUUGUCUUUGGUGCAUAUGCUCUCAGUGUACAUAAAAAGAAAAGAUACAUUCCUCAAGAAUCAUAAGGUACAACACUUAAUGAUAGUCUUAGGGAACAAAUAAGCAAUCAAAUCAUAUUAGGAAACAGUGAAUAUAAAUUGUAAGGAUACCAGCAACAAGGUUACAGUCAUACAGUCAUUAAGUGGAAGGAGGUGGGUGAUGGGAACGAUGAGAAGAUUAAUAGUAAUGCAGACUUAGUGAAUAGUUUGACAGUGUUGAGCGAAUUAUUUUUUUAGCAAAUUGAUGGCGUUUGGGAAAAAAACUGUUCUUGUACCUAAUUGUCUUGGUGUGCAAUGCUCUAUAGUGUUGUUUUGAGGGUAGGAGUUGAAACAAUUUAUAUCCAGGAUGCAAGGGGUCUGUAAAUAUUUUCACUUAAUUUCAUUUAAUGUAACUCUUGUCCUGCAGCGAAUUGGCCGUGGCAAGCUGUCAUAGACCCAUGGGGAUGAUGGAAACAACCAAAAGAUUAACGUAUGAACAGUCAACUUAGCUGGGUAGCGUAGAACACUUUAGCUUAACCUGCCCCCAUAAAGAUAUGUGGAGUUCAACUCCCGACACAAAGGAUCCUAGAUUGGGAGAAUCUUUGGAAUAUAUCAUGGAAACCAAGACUAGCGGCUGCACAGGAGAAAAGUGCAAUAGUUUCUUUCUAUGAGGAACAGACAGAGACCAACGCUGGUGUAUUCAUAUGGAACUUAAGCAGUUAUUUCGAAUAUUUGAGACAUAGUCUUCUUCUACACUCUUUUCCACCUUUUGCAAAUUUGGACCUUUAUAUUCAUUUUUAA